rnacentral:misc_RNA from 1 species
AACACCUCAGCAAGACGGGCACU